rnacentral:rRNA from 1 species
GAGUUUGAUCCUGGCUCAGGAUGAACGCUGGCGGCGUGCUUAACACAUGCAAGUCGAACGAUGAAGCCCAGCUUGCUGGGUGGAUUAGUGGCGAACGGGUGAGUAACACGUGAGUAACCUGCCCUUAACUCUGGGAUAAGCCUGGGAAACUGGGUCUAAUACCGGAUAGGAGCGUCCACCGCAUGGUGGGUGUUGGAAAGAUUUAUCGGUUUUGGAUGGACUCGCGGCCUAUCAGCUUGUUGGUGAGGUAAUGGCUCACCAAGGCGACGACGGGUAGCCGGCCUGAGAGGGUGACCGGCCACACUGGGACUGAGACACGGCCCAGACUCCUACGGGAGGCAGCAGUGGGGAAUAUUGCACAAUGGGCGAAAGCCUGAUGCAGCGACGCCGCGUGAGGGAUGACGGCCUUCGGGUUGUAAACCUCUUUCAGUAGGGAAGAAGCGAAAGUGACGGUACCUGCAGAAGAAGC